rnacentral:rRNA from 1 species
UACGUAGGGUGCGAGCGUUAAUCGGAAUUAUUGGGCGUAAAGGGCGCGUAGGCGGCGAUUCAAGUGACGGGUGAAAUCCCUCGGCUUAACCGAGGAACUGCCUGUCAGACUGGAUUGCUUGAGGCCGGGAGAGGCGAGUGGAAUUCCCAGUGUAGCGGUGAAAUGCGUAGAUAUUGGGAGGAACACCAGUGGCGAAGGCGGCUCGCUGGACCGGUUCUGACGCUGAGGCGCGAAAGCGUGGGGAGCAAACGGG